rnacentral:rRNA from 1 species
CCUACGGGGGGCAGCAGUGAGGAAUAUUGGUCAAUGGACGAGAGUCUGAACCAGCCAAGUAGCGUGAAGGAUGACUGCCCUAUGGGUUGUAAACUUCUUUUAUAAAGGAAUAAAACGAGGCACGUGUGCCUUUUGCAUGUACUUUAUGAAUAAGGAUCGGCUAACUCCGUGCCAGCAGCCGCGGUAAUACGGAGGAUCCGAGCGUUAUCCGGAUUUAUUGGGUUUAAAGGGAGCGUAGAUGGGUUGUUAAGUCAGUGGUGAAAGUUUGCGGCUCAACCCGGGCCUUGCAGCGCGAACUGGCGUGCUUGAGUCCGCGGAAGGCAGGCGGAAUUCGUCGUGUAGCGGUGAAAUGCUUAGAUAUGACGAAGAACCCCGAUUGCGAAGGCAGCUUGCUGCAGCGGAACUGACGCUGAUGCUCGAAAGCGCGGGUAUCGAACAGGAUUAGAUACCCUUGUAGUC